rnacentral:rRNA from 1 species
CAGCAGCCGCGGUUAGACUGAGAGGUAAAAUGAAAGAAAUUUGGUUAAAAACAGUUAUAUUUAUUAAUUUUUUUUUCUUUUAAAGGACUAUAUUAAUAAAGGGUGAAAUCAGUUUUUUAAUAAAUAGUAAAAUAAAAGUCUUAAUUUUAAUUGAAGCUGUUAAGAUAAAGGGAUGAACCAGGAUUAGAUACCCUGUUACACUUUAUUUGAAUUAUAAUUACCUGGGUACUAAACAGUUAUUAUCUUGAAACUCAAAGGAUUUGGCGGUAACUUAGUCUAUUUAGAGGAACCUGUCCUGUAAUCGAUAAACCACGAAAGAUCUUACUUUAUCUUGUAACUAUUACAGUUUGUAUACCGUCAUUAUUAGGUAACUUUAAUAAAAUGUAGAGUUAUUGAAAUAGUUUAGCUAGUAUAUUAGAUCAAGGUGCAGCUUAUGAUAAAGGAAGAGAUGGGUUACAAUAUAUUAAAGUAUACGAAAUAAUAAAGGAACUUUUGUUAUUGAAGGUGGAUUUAAAAGUAAAAAGAUUUUAAUAAGGUCUUUUGAUUUUAGCUCUAGGUUAUGUACACAUCGCCCGUCGCUCUCGUCAAUUUAUGCGAGAUAAGUCGUAACAAAGUAGGUGU